ensembl:ncRNA Y47D3B.17 ncRNA
ACAAUGUUGACAAACGUCGAUUUAUUUUUUCGAUGUUUGAAAUUUUCCGAAAUCAGCCAUUUUAGAAAUUGUUGGUUUAUAAAAAAAAUGCGGCAAAAUUGUCAUAAAUAUUUAUUUUUUUUUAAUUUUAGGAAAUCGGCCAUU